GGGAGGCCUGAACAGAAACACCUGUUUAUCUCUGCUAAUCUGCUGGGAGCCUGGUAUUCAAGGCCUUGCAGGCUUGAGAAGGUUGAGAUCAGAGAUGGGAGGGGGGCCUGCAAGGCAUGAAAAAGUGAAGAAGCUUCGGGAAGAGGAUUACAUCAGAAAGCCCCUGAUUGGUUAAUUCAUCCUGGACCGUUAGGUUUCUUUUUCCUUAAGUAUAGGGUCUGAGACCCAUAGCCUUUGUUCCCCCUGGAUGUUCCUUGGAAUGUUCCCUUGGGUUUCUAUCUUGAUGGGUAAUUACCUAUGUGGGGUUCCAUCGCUUCUUGUAUUCUGAUACUAUUCUCUCUGAGGAGAGAUGAGACCUAUCAACAACUACCUCUAAUGUUUUUGAUGUUUGCCAUGCUGGCCCCUACCGGGAGGAAGAAAUUGAAUAUAUUGGAAGAGAAACAGGCAAUGGAAGGCAAUACACUAAGCUUACCAUCAGAAACAACACAGAAAAGAUCUUGACAGUUUCUUGGUGCUGAGUUGAAGAAGAUAAAUGCUUUUAAAUAAACCUCCUCCCAUCAGCUGAAGGUCAUCACCAUGUGGGCACUUGGCGUUACUAGAUAAUAAGAUGGGGAAAUAUAUUGAGCCUAGUAAAAAUUUAAUAGGUGGUUCACAGCAGUAAUGAAAAACUCCUCUGACUGGCAGGCACAAAACAAGACAUGGAGAGCUGAUUCUUCUAGUGUUCACUUUAUCACCCAAAUAUCAUUGCUUGUGUAUAAACUCUGAAGCUGUUGGGAUAUCCCCAGCAGCUUGAUUCUAUCAGCAAACCAAGCCAGUAGGGCAACAACAUUCUGACAAUUCAUCCAGACUGUUUUGGGCUUUUUUUGCUUUUUUUGUGUAGUGUAUGAGGGUGGAUGAAUUCUGUCCAUUUCAGUUUUUCUGUUUCCAAUCUUUUCAGUCUUUUAAGUUCAGUUUGCCAUAUUUCUACAUCAGUUCCUGAAUUUUUCUUUUCAACAUUCCUAUGAAAAUUGAUCAGCAUUUUGAGUGCAAAUUUUUGGAUGCAAUUUUGCUUUAACAUCUUUUCAAAUAAUUUUCCCAUAUGGAAUGCAUUUUAGAAUAUGAAUGUACAAAACCGCACACAGCAUUUCCUGUCGCUAUAUAUAGUGCUGCAAACUUUCAGAAAGCCCUUUACACAACUCCUGACAGCAGCCUUUUAGGAAGAGUGAGAUAAAAUUAGACUGCAAAUGUUGCAACAGAUGUCCAAGAGCACUUUUGCUGAGGACAUAAAGUGUGUCUAUUUGAGGGGCCUUUCCACACCUGAUCAGGGCUUGAAGGUGAAGUGGAGUUUUGCACAGCAAACGCAUCCCUUGUGGAUGCACAUUCCACAGGUUUUCUCUCAAGGUUGUCAAAGGGUGACAUGCACGGAACUUGAGCCUCACAAAGUGGUGACUAUUGUGGUGGUUAUGAUGAAACCGCUCUUAAUUUAUAUGCUUCAACUGUCCCUAGUCACCAGGUUUUUUCUGGUAACUGGUAAAAAACUACCCCUAUUUAUUUUGCCUUUUAAAAAGUUUUGUUAGUGUGUGGGCUCAUGACGUGUACAAAAAUUUGCGUCCUCUCCUUCUGUUGUUUAGAAAGCAUCAAUGCAAUCUUAACACAUUUUGUCAAAUAAUCAAACUAGCAUCAGGGCACUGAAAAGAAACAGACUCAAGUGACAAAGUGUGAUGGGGCUAUGUGAUCUGCUUCUCUGAAAAUUGAUAGCAGAUCAUGCACUCCUAACACACUCAUCCCUCAGAACUGGGAUCAGUUCAUGUUAUAAUGUGAAUUUACUCUUCCCAAAAGAAUACAAGAACUAAAACACAACAAUCCUUUGAAAUUUGCACUUCUCUAAAUUUUGUAGUUCAGUUCUGCAACCAAAAAACAUUUACAAAAUUGCAUAUAUAAUGGGAAAGUGUGCAUAAAAUGCUUUUUUUGUGUGGGGGGGAAACAUGUUGUCCUGAGUUUUUUGCUUGUCAUCAGGCUGUCUGUGAUUUAAUUUCCACUUUCCAAGAGAAGGGGAGGAAAGGAGGUUGCUGCAGAAAAUGUCCUUCCCUAUGUCUUAAAAGAUGUACUGGUUUAAUCUGCUGCAGUACGAUCAAUUGUUUCAAUAUACAAGUGAAUUACUGAAGUGUCCUGAAGACAGUGGGGAAUAGUGGUUAGAGUGUCAGAAAAGGGCCUGGGAAGACUAGGGUUCAAAUCCUCAUUUGGCCAUGAAGCUCACUGCACCCAGUGAGCCAUUCAACAGCUUGAGCCAUUCAACAGCUCUCAGCCUGACCUACUUCACAGGGUUGUUGUAAGGAUAAUAUGGAGAAGAGGGAAGAACCAUGUAUGCCACCUUGAUCUCCUUGAAUCAAAGGUGGAUUACUAAAUGUAAUAAUAACAAGAAUAAGAAUAAAAUACUAGAACUUUGUUGUCAACUAUAUUAUGAGUGGGCAGAGAGUAGCUCAGGAUCUUGUAGUAGAUCUGCAAGAGUUUCUGAUUCCCAAGGAUUUAAUAACAGCAACAGCAAAAUGGCUUUUCUUUUUCUAAAUUAGGUUGCUGAAAUAAAGAAAACUUAGUGGGUGGAGAGAGGAAUCCAGGAGGGAUUUCUGUCUGAAAGAGCUGUGAAAUCAUUUCUGGUCCCAGAACAAAUUUCUUGGCUAAGUGUGUGCUCAGAGGCACCUUGGUUCAAAGUUAUAAGCUAAGGGUUGUGAACAUUUAUUUAUUUUAUUUUAUUUAUUUAAAACAUUUCUAUGCCGCUCUAUCUUCGAAGAAGCUCAGAGCGGCGAACAAUUCCGUGAUAAAAAAUACAAUGUAAAAACAACAGUAGCAGCUAAGAAUACCCAUUUAAAACAACGUUAGAUAGUAAGCCCUAUACAAUAAAAUGAUCCUAAUCAUCUCAUAGGUAAAAGAUUUCCUAAUCCUUAAUCCAGGUUAAAAGCAAGAUGAAAAAGAUAUGUUUUAACCUGGCGACGAAAUGCAGAGAGUGAGGAGGUUAACCGUGCCUCUAUAGGCAGGGAGUUCCAGAGUCUCGGGGCGAUAAGUGAGAACGCCCUGUCUCUGGUUCCUACCAGAUGAACUUGGGUGGAAGAGGGUAUCUUAAGGAGGGAGUUAUCGGAGGACCUAAGAAAACGGGGAGGGUUAUAAAAAGACAGUCGGUCGGAUAGAUAGACAGGGCCCAAGCCGUAAAGGGCUUUAAAUGUCAACAUCAGCACCUUGAAUCCGGAAGCAGAUCGGCAACCAAUGCAGAUGUUGCAACAGAGGAGUUGUGUGAGCACGAAUAUCGGCUCCUGUUAGCAUUCUUACAGCUGCACGUUGGACCAGUUUAAGCUUCCGAACUGUCUUCAAAGGCAGCCCCACGUAGAGUGCGUUGCAGUAGUCGAGCCGGGAUGUAACUAAGGCAUGAGUUACCCUCGUCAAAUCAGAUAACUCUAAAAACGGGCGCAGUUGGCGGACCAGUCUUAGCUGGGCAAAAGCGCUCCUGGACACAGCAGCAACCUGUGCUUCCAGGUUCAAAGCCGAGUCCAGAAGCACACCCAAACUGCGGACUUGGGUCUUCAGGGGGAGUGUAACCCCGUCUAACACAGGUACAUUCCACGUUUCCAGGUUAGCCUUGCGACUGACAAGGAGCAUUUCUGUCUUGUCUGGAUUUAAUUUCAACUUGUUCUUCUUCAUCCAAUCCGUCACUGAGGACAGACACUGGUUUAGGGGACGAACGGCUUCCUUGGCUUCAGGGGGAAAGGAGAAGUAAAGCUGAGUAUCAUCAGCGUAUUGGUGGUAACAAACUCCAAACCUCCGGAUGACCUCACCUAGUGGCUUCAUAUAAAUGUUAAAUAACAACGGAGACAGGAUGGAAACAGGAGACAGGGCACCAAUAUGCGCAUGAGUACCCUCUAUGGUGCCCACAAAGAUCUCUGUAAAUAUCCCCUCAAAAAUCCACAAGGCACAACAGACUUUUCUCUUCCUGCUCAGCUCCUGUUUGCACUGGCUCAGCUUCUUCUCCUACACUGAACAUGUCCCCUGAAAGAUGACCAUGUUUCAUUGGAUGCCAGGAUUGGAUACCCUCCCUCCCAUUUGUUCUGAACAGAGGAGGGGGCAAAGACCUUGUCUCUGCCUCCGCCCCCAGUGCUGAAAGCCACGAAAACUCAGGAACAGAUUUUCCCUUCUCGACCUGCACCGUUGCCUCCCGUAUAAACUGCCCGUUUCUUUUUCAUGAGCCGCCGUGUUCGCGGGACAGAGCCGCACCUGUCUUGCAUCAAGUGGCCCUUGAAACUUUUUGUUUUCCCUCAGCACUGCAUCAGGAACAGAACAAAGGCAAAAUGCAAAACCAAGGAAUGUAAACUUAACGAGCAAAUACCUCUACCAAAACUCUGGGAGCUGAAACCACCGAGCCUGUGAAAACUGUCUCUGCAAGUUGUGGUUGGGCUACACUGCUGGAAAAGUGGAUCACUCUGAAAUAUAACAAUUUUUUGGUCUGGCCUUUUGUGGUUAGAUUUAAUCAUAAAAGUACUUGGUUAUGUGGGUCCUCCCCACUCACCCAGACUAUUUUUAUAGAGAAUAAAACAUUGAGUGAAGACAGACAUAACAUUUUUGGAGAUCACUGGGUCAAAUCAGAAGGCUUUACUGUUUAAUCCAAGUCUUAUCUUUUUUAAAAAAACACUCUACAAAUCUGCAACAGAAGCCAUCUUAUGGAGAGCACUGAUUGGCUGGUGCCCAUUAUGUCACCCAGACACCCCCUCCAAAUUUCCAGAACAAUUUUGCAUUUUUAAUUUUCUCUCUUUUUUAAAGUGAAUAAGGUUAAUAGUAGGCAUAAUAUAUAAGUACAGAUGUUGCACUAUAAAAAAACAGAAAAGGACAGCCUGAAGCAUGGCAAGAUGGCAGCUGAGCUGGCAUUUGAUUCUCUGGUGUGUAUAGCAGUCAUUCAAACUGCAAAGCUGGGAGCAAGCCAGGCUCACAUUUUGACUGAGUUUUUUAAAAAUGUUACAUCUGUCUUCACCUGUAGUUAUAUAGAGGCAGGUGUUGAAGAACUGCAAUUCAAAUUGGACCAAUUGUUUAUAAGAACAAAAAAGCUUCAGGUUGGAGGUACUUUGCUUCUGAAUCUCAGUUGCUGGAAACCGUAAGAGGGGAAAAUGAUCUUGUGCUCAGGUCCUGCUUGAGGGUUUCCCAUAGACAUCUGGUUGGCCACUGUGAGAACAGGAUGCUGGACUAGAUGGGCCUUUGGCUUGAUCCAGCAGGCUCUUCUUAUGUUCCUAUGUGUGGGAGUCCACACAAAACAAUUCAAAACUUUUGUUGGACUUUGGAGUUUCUCGCUUGUGUGCAUAGAACUGCAAGGCACAAGGUGAAAACACAAAGAAAAAUGCCAUUGCAAUCCUAUAUGUCUUCUUAGAAGGAAGCCCAGUUGGAUUCACUUGAUCAUACUUCCAGGUAAAUGAGUAUAGAAUUGCAGCCAUACAGUGCAAACCUAUCCAAGUCUACUCAGAAGUAAGGCCAAAUGAGUUCUGACGGACUUAUUUCCAGGUGAGCAAAUAUAGGAUUGCAGCUUUAAAUCUACUUCUCAAGAGAAGAUGAAAUGUAUCAUUAGCAUGUUCAUAGGUUUUAAUGGUUUGUGAGAUAUUGUGUGUCUGCAUGUAUAUUAUUAACACAUUUUAAAACAUGGACAAUUUGAGCUUUGUGCAGGCUGACACUAAACUGUAGAUAAUUUAAAAAGAUGUUGGGUAAGUUUAACUUAACCAUUUUUAAUGAAUAGCAGUACAGCAAAUUCUUCUAAUUUACCACUAACUCUUUUUUUUUCAAAACAAAGUUGAGAAAGUCACCUUUUUUAAUCUAGGCUGGUGAGUGGGCUGCUUAAGGCUCACAAGGCACUUAUAUUCAGCUCUCGUGAAUUUUCUAGAACCCUAAGUAUUCUAGCUUUAAACUGAAAACAACCACACUAAUAGAAGUGCAGAGAGAUGCUUGAGAAUGUGAUGACAACAAUCAGUGCUCAAAGACUGGGAGUGAGGAGGGAAAUAAAAGGCACAAAUUCGCUAUGUGUUCAUUCCCAUAUCCUUGGUGUCGGUCUACAAAAAUGUGUCUGCUGGCUGAAUGAGAUUUUCAUAUUUGAGAAUAGGAAUCUGGAUGGGAAUAUUGCAGAGAUGCUACCUGUCCUUCUUCCACCACCACCAGCCUGCCGCAACUACAGUUUGGGGUUUGUCAGGCUCAAAGAUGCUAUGCAAAUACUGCUACUGACAUGCAAAUUAGUGGCAGGACUUCCAACUAAUGAUGUUGUUAAAACAUGGCCUUCAGACACCCAUGCCAAGCUGAUCAGAGCUGCUGCUGUUUCAUAUGUCUCUAUAUAGGUAAAUGUGCAAUGUUGGGAAUGUGAACUCAAAAACUGCUGACUGUAUUAAGUCAGUAUGCACACUCUCCAGUUACUUUGCACACCUUCCGACUGCACACUUGUCGCAACAUCUGUAGUGUGAGAGCACCAGCCUUGGUGCAAAAUCUUAUUUUUAUUUAAGCCCAUUGAAAAUGUUAUGAGCACUUUAAAUGCUAGCAGCCUACUGAAAAAUCCAGUACACAUAUUUUUCAUAACUUUUUUUUAAAAAAUGUUGCUUUUUGUGUCAGUCAGGAUGUUUACAUUGGCUAAAUCUUAUUGGAUUGAAUUGCAUCAAUCUUUGCACCGUUGAUUAAGCCAAAUUUUUAAAAAGUUGUACCUGUGCUAAAAAGAUUCUUGUAGACCGGGAGUUGUAGACUGAUUAUUAGCUGAGGUGGUGGGAUAUCCCGGUGUGCGUAGAUAGUAUAUUGUUCAUAAUGGGUAAGGACUGUUACAAAGACACGUCUGCUACAAAGGCUUCAGAGAGCAAAACAUUUCUUGUUAAAUUAUGUUAAGAAUUAUUCCCACAUGGCAGUAGCUAUUCAACAUACGCUUGUUUGGUAAAUUUCUCCAUAAUUUUUGCCAAAUUUUUUUUAACAGUGUUUGUUUAUAUUCAUAU